AGCUAACUUCUUUUAAUUAUUCGGACGCACCAAGUAGUUACCAAAUUAUAUUGAUAGUCUCUACUCGUGUCGUAGCCCGUCUGAGAGCUAAAUUCGCCUCAAUUGCUCGUCUCUUUCCGUCAGCUCUACUCAAGUUAGCUUCAGCUAUUUCAAGAGUUCGCUGAGCUUCUUGCGGAUCAAUCUCACUACCUCUUUCUGCAUCGUUUACGAAAAUGGGCAUAAAUGAGAUCAAAAUUUUAGAGAG